AGUGGCGCACGGGUGCAUAACGCGUAUGCAUCUACCUUUUACUAGAGUAUAGCCCAGAGAAAUUUGGAUUAAUCCUCUAUAAUGUUUCAUGACUAAAGUUUUAACGGUAAAAGAUGAGCAUGCGUCCUAUUAGUUUGUAGGUGAGGUAACGGCUCACCUAGACUACGAUAGGUAGGGGCCCUGAGAGGGGGAUCCCCCACACUGGUACUGAGACACGGACCAGACUCCUACGGGAGGCAGCAGUAAGGAAUAUUGGACAAUGGACGAAAGUCUGAUCCAGCCAUGCCGCGUGCAGGAUGAAAGCCUAUGGGUUGUAAACUGCUUUUAUACAGGAAGAAACACUCGUACGUGUACGAGCUUGACGGUACUGUAAGAAUAAGGACCGGCUAACUCCGUGCCAGCAGCCGCGGUAAUACGGAGGGUCCGAGCGUUAUCCGGAAUCAUUGGGUUUAAAGGGUCCGCAGGCGGUCUUUUAAGUCAGAGGUGAAAGCCUACAGCUCAACUGUAGAACGGCCUUUGAUACUGAAAGACUUGAGUUAUUAUGAAGUGGUUAGAAUGUGUGGUGUAGCGGUGAAAUGCAUAGAUAUCACACAGAUACCGAUUGCGAAGGCAGAUCACUAAUAUAUACUGACGCUCAUGACGAAAGCGUGGGGAGCGACAGAUAGAUACCUGUAGUCCACGCCGA
rnacentral:rRNA from 1 species